CGGCGGAAGGAGGAUCAACUGUUAUUUUUAGAACGCUGACAUUCCUCCUGUCUGCUUCUUUUUUUAAAUUUUAUUUAUUUAUUUAAACGGCACUCUCGUGUUACCGCUUUCAGCUGCAGUUGACGUCGCAACGUUCAAUAGUGGUGAGACCAUUGGAGCCUCCCACAGCCAGCAAGGCUCCACUGAAGACAACAAGGGACAUCUGAGGCACGAUAGAGUGGGUGAGUCCACCUCAUGGUGUCUGGGUUAAAUCGCUCGACAGCACAGAGCUCCAGGCUGAGCUCGUCUUUGCCCCCAGCCACAUAGAUGUGUCCCAGGUACACAGUGCAGCCAGCAUUCUCCCUUGGACUCAGCAUGUGGGCGCAUAUCGACCAAGUACCGUCUACAGGGUUGUAACGCUCCACUGGGGGACAUUUAGAGGAUAGCAGAAGUCAUAUACACUAUAUGAUACACAGCUACUCACAUUGAAUGAGCAGCACUGCCAUACAGACAAGUAUUUUUUAUAUUUAUUUUCAAAAAUAUCCAGGUUAUAUUGAUAUAUUGCAGUUUUAGAUGUACAUAAAAAGCUAAAAAGAAUAGAAAUGUCUGCUGGAAAGCACAUCAGCAAAGAGGCUUUUUUCUAUUUUAUUAUCUGUUCAAUGGAAAUUCUUAAGAAAUAAUGUAAUUUCCAGCCAUCAACGUAAGCUCUGACUGUGAACCUGAUGGGAACUGAAAAUGGUUGUGGGAAUUUUACUGAAAUGCGCUUCUCAUGGACUGAAAUAGUGGCAGGACAACAUAACCGUUGUUUAUCUUCGGCAAGGUCAGGGGGCUGUGUGUGUGUGUGUGUGUGUGUGUGUGUGUGUGUGUGUGUGUGUGUGUGUGUGUGUGUGUCUGAGUGGGCAGAAAAUAGUUAUGUGUGACUGAAAUCCUGCCACACGUCAGGAAGCUGUCAAAGAAAGCUGAGGGUUUUUUCAAAUAGUGGUGGGAAAAUGUCAAUUCGCAAAAUGUCCCCAAGCAUUGAAUAACAGUUAACUAUUUGUAUGUUAAUAAAUGAUCAGUAUGACUGUAUCAGUAUUAGCUUGAUCAAAACAAAGUGCAUGACAAAAUUUCGUACUGCCUGAGGUUUGAUGUCAAUGACAGCCUCACCUGAGCUUAGUGCCAUAUCCCCAUCAUUCCCUCCAAUCACAUACAGGUGACCCUCCAGCACAGCAGCCGCUGCUCUGGUGCGUCUGGUCAGCAUCGCUGCCUGCUUGCUCCACAUGUUCAUUUUCGGAUCGUACCUAGAACAAUGAAACAAAGGUUAGCGGCAGCAAUUUAACAAAUGGUCUGCCAAUCACUAAUGUUUUUGCAUAAUUCAGUGUAUCACUUCUUUGUUCCUUCCUCUGAGUCAGCCACUUCAGAUUGCUUUCAAAGUAAUGUGAGAUGUCAGGUAAGUAAGAUCAUUAUUACUUUCACUCCGGAUAUAUGUAAGACACAGCCCACUCCUUUCAAUUUCAUUUAAUGCUCAUUUUUCAAACGUGACUGUGUGUUUGUUUCUUCACAGGAGACUUAGCUUAAGCUUUUCUGAUGUACCAGAUGGUGUUAGGAAUGAAAAUGUGCUUUGAAAGUGUUUAUUUUCUUUACUAAAUCUAAAGUGAAAUCUUUUGGCAGCAGAACUUUUUAGGAAAAAUAAUAAAGCACAGUGCCAUUUAAUGUCUUACAGUAUGUUUUAAGAAGAUUCAAAAUUAAUUCUGUAAGAUAUUGAUCUCUUGUGUGACUCAUGCAGCAGUACCUCUCCACAGUGUUCAUGGCAGUAAUGCCAUCAUGUCCUCCAACAGCAUACAGGUAUCCAUCCAUUGCCACCAGACAUACUCCGCUGCGUGGGCUGCUCAAGGGUGCUACAUCUGCACUCCAGCUGUCUGUGUCUGGGUUGUACCUGCCGUGAUGGUGGUCAAGGAGCAGGCAUGUCAAAGUGCGCAACAACAAUUAGAUACUGGGCCAUUACAUGAAAGCCCACAUCCCCCAAAACAGCACUUUCACCUAACUGGCAAGUCUUCGCUCAAGUAUGACGUCAGACAUUAUCUUCAAAUGUCACAACAGCAAUGUAACCACCCCUUAGAGAUGAGGUAACCUAAAUGAGAGGCCAUUAAAAGCUGAUCAGUUUGGAGUGGGUCUUUCCCCAUCGGUCUGCCAGGCAGCCCUGGGAUGAUCUGUACGGGGUCAGCUUGAUGGCACUCUGUAAAGGAGUGGCUGUCUGUGGGAACAGGGAACAGAGCCAGCUCCUUUGAGCCAUCUGAUAGAGUGGGA